rnacentral:rRNA from 1 species
CGGCGGACGGGUGAGUAACGCGUGGGUAACCUGCCUCAUACAGGGGGAUAACAGUUAGAAAUGACUGCUAAUACCGCAUAAGCACACAGUACCGCAUGGUACAGAGUGAAAAACUCCGGUGGUAUGAGAUGGACCCGCGUCUGAUUAGCUUGUUGGCGGGGUAACGGCCCACCAAGGCGACGAUCAGUAGCCGACCUGAGAGGGUGACCGGCCACAUUGGGACUGAGACACGGCCCAG